AUGUUGCCAGAUGGUCCUGAUUCUCCAUGUGGAAUAGAAGGUCACCCUGAUCAGCAAUGUUUAACAAAUUCUGAUCGAGUCACUGUUUUAGACGACCCAUGUAACCCUGAAAAUCCUUGCAAAAAUGGCACUUGUAUUGGUUUGAUGGAGAAGUAUCAUUAUACCUGUGAUUGUCAUCCUGGUUAUGUUUCUACUGAGGAAGAGAAUUCUACUUGCGUUGUGAAUGCAUGUUUUGGUAAUCCAUGUGGUCUUGGUGGAGUGUGCAACACGGAAUUGAGUAGUGAAGAAUAUACAUGUAACUGCUCUGUUGGGUACUAUGAAGAUCAAGG